GACGAACGCUGGCGGCGUGCUUAACACAUGCAAGUCGAACGGAAAGGCCCUGCUUGUGUGGGGUGCUCGAGUGGCGAACGGGUGAGUAACACGUGAGUAACCUGCCCUUGACUUUGGGAUAACUUCAGGAAACUGGGGCUAAUACCGGAUAGGAGCUCCUGCUGCAUGGUGGGGGUGGGAAAGUUUCGGCGGUUGGGGAUGGACUCGCGGCUUAUCAGCUUGUUGGUGGGGUAGUGGCUUACCAAGGCUUGGACGGGUAGCCGGCCGGAGAGGGUGACCGGCCACCUUGGGACUGAGAUACGGCCCAGACUCCCUCGGGCGGCAGCCGUGGGGAAUAUUGCACGAUGGGCGGAAGCCUGACGCAGCCACCCCGCGUGCGUGAUGACGGCCUUCGGGUUGUACACCGCUUUCGCCUGUGACGAAGCGUGAGUGACGGUAAUGGGUAAGGAAGCCCCGGCUAACUCCGUG
rnacentral:rRNA from 1 species